rnacentral:tRNA from 1 species
CCUUCGAUAGCUCAGUUGGUAGAGCGGAGGACUGUAGUGGUUGUUCAGAGAUCCUUAGGUCGCUGGUUCAAAUCCGGCUCGAAGGA